GAGAGAGAGAGAGAGAGGUAUAUCCCAUGAGAGAGAGAGAGGUAUAUCCCAUGAGAGAGAGAGAGGUAUAUCCCAUGAGAGAGAGAGGUAUAUCCCACGAGAGAGAGAGAGAGAGAGAGAGGUAUAUCCCAUGAGAGAGAGAGAGAGAGAGAGGUAUAUCCCAUGAGAGAGAGAGGUAUAUCCCAUGAGAGAGAGAGGUAUAUCCCAUGAGAGAGAGAGAGAGAGAGAGGUAUAUCCCAUGAGAGAGAGAGAGGUAUAUCCCAUGAGAGAGAGAGGUAUAUCCCAUGAGAGAGAGAGAGAGAGAGAGAGAGAGAUAGAAGAGAGAGAGAGAGAGAGAGAGAGAGAGAGAGAGAGAGAGAGAGAGAGAGAGAGAGGUAUAUCCCAUGAGAGAGAGAGAGAGAGGUAUAUCCCAUGAGAGAGAGAGAGAGGUAUAUCCCAUGAGAGAGAGAGAGAGGUAUAUCCCAUGAGAGAGAGAGGUAUAUCCCAUGAGAGAGAGAGGUAUAUCCCAUGAGAGAGAGAGGUAUAUCCCAUGAGAGAGAGGUAUAUCCCAUGAGAGAGAGAGGUAUAUCCCAAGAGAGAGAGGUAUAUCCAGAGAGAGAGAGAGAGAGGUAUAUCCCAUGAGAGAGAGAGAGAGAGGUAUAUCCCAUGAGAGAGAGAGAGAGGUAUAUCCCAUGAGAGAGAUCGAGAGGUAUAUCCCAUGAGAGAGAGAGGUAUAUCCCAUGAGAGAGAGAGGUAUAUCCCAUGAGAGAGAGAGGUAUAUCCCAUGAGAGAGAGAGGUAUAUCCCAAGAGAGAGAGGUAUAUCCAGAGAGAGAGAGAGAGAGGUAUAUCCCAUGAGAGAGAGAGAGGUAUAUCCCAUGAGAGAGAGAGAGAGAGAGAGGUAUAUCCCAUGAGAGAGAGAGAGGUAUAUCCCAUGAGAGAGAGAGAGGUAUAUCCCAUGAGAGAGAGAGAGAGAGAGAGAGAGAGAGGUAUAUCCCAUGAGAGAGAGAGAGAGGUAUAUCCCAUGAGAGAGAGAGAGAGGUAUAUCCCAUGAGAGAGAGAGAGAGGUAUAUCCCAUGAGAGAGAGAGAGAGAG